rnacentral:rRNA from 1 species
UACGAAGGGGGCUAGCGUUGCUCGGAAUCACUGGGCGUAAAGGGUGCGUAGGCGGGUCUUUUAAGUCAGGGGUGAAAUCCUGGAGCUCAACUCCAGAACUGCCUUUGAUACUGAAGAUCUUGAGUUCGGGAGAGGUGAGUGGAACUGCGAGUGUAGAGGUGAAAUUCGUAGAUAUUCGCAAGAACACCAGUGGCGAAGGCGGACUCACUGGCCCGAUAACUGACG